AUGGGUUUUCGGAGCGAGAAAAGAGUGAGGCUGAAAGCCGGUGUGAUUCCCUCAAUCCAUGCCGCUCCAGCCGCAGCUUCGGGCUCAGCCACCGGCGGCAGUGGAGAUCACGGACCGGUCAGAGAUUCAACGAUUCGGAAACGUGAACUGUGCACUUUGCUGGGAAAUACGGCACGUUUUGAAGCCACAGAUGCGCCUACAGCCAGUGAAGACUCGGAGCAAGAGGCCGUCGCUUCACUGGCUUCUCAGCCAAAAUCUGUGCUUCACUUUGGCUCACAGUGUCACAUAAGACCUCCUUAUCGUUCAUCAGGUAGUGUGACUUAACUCUUAUAUCUAGCUUUAGCUCUACAUGUUCUUAGCCAACAUUUUCACUCUUUACAUACUGUCACAAUAAUUAAUUAUCUAUUUUAUAGCUGGGAUAGCUCAACAGUAUAUCCACUUUAAUUUACAUGAAUAAGAACACCUCAGACCAAAUGACUACAAAAACUAAACGAUACUUUGUAAAAGUAGAUUUUAUUCCAGGUUUGUCAUAUCUGAUUGCAUUCUAUUGUAUAGGUGUAGUGGCCAUUGAAUAUAUGAUGAUUUUUUACAUUUACAGUAUAUUAAGUAAAUCUAUUUCAACCUAGCUAUCCAGGUACAGACACAGACGGUCAGUGUGGGGACACAGACCGAACUCUGUGUAUCAUCAAUUCCACUGCCCAGUCCAGUACAAACAGAGGAUGAAUCAUCCUCUGUUUCAAGAGAUCAACCAGAUGACAGGUCAUGGAGUGAAGUGGAAGAGAUGAGCGUGUCAUCUUCUGAGGAGGAGUCAGAGCCACAGCAGGGUUCUCAGUGGGACUUCGGGUAAGACGACUUCCUUAACUUUUAGAUUUUGUUUUUUUCAAAAUUCUGUCCGUCAGAAAUAAUAAGUGUUUUGUUUUUCCAGAGUUGCAAACAAGUUCAUUGUCUGUCUCACCCAGCUGAUGGCUCUCUUCACCAUUUGUCCUGCCUGUUGUGGGGAAACCCAUGGUAACGUGGAGCAGCAGCAGGGAACAUUUGUUCAGAUCAAGCAAGUAAGAGGAUAUUGUAGUCAUAUAAAAGUAAAGAUGUGUGCUAACCUGUAUUUAUAUUGUAUAUAUUGUGUGUUUUUUGUGUUGUCAAUUUUACUUUAUCAAUUCACUUUUUUGACUGUUUAAGUGGUGGCCAUCCAGUUUUCUGGUUGUAUGGCUACACAAACACUUAGGAUGUUAAAACUGUUUUGCCUUCAAUGUUUUACUGCAAACACAUUCUUCCGCCAUCAACGCCUUUACACAAUUCCCACCAUUGUGCAGGCGUGGAAGAAUGAGCAAGCUGGCAUAGUCAGCCAGCUGAAGGAGAUGGGGGGGGGGUCUAAUCCUCUCAGGUGACUGCAGGUAUAACACCUCGCUUGUAUACUUUUAUAUGUUAACGUUGCGUGCCGUAGUGUGUUGGUUUUGGGCUUGUUUCGUUUUGUGUUUUAUGUUCAGGCUUGCCCCGUACCGGUGACCGCCAGCAGCAUAGGGCCAGCUUCUAUUGGUCGCCAGUGAGGGUGCCGUGUGUUGUUUGAUGAUCCUUGCCAAAUCUUUGCAUGUGUCCCGUCUUCGCGUGUGGAGAUCGCCUUCAGUUUAUUUUUGUGGUUCCGAGUAGCUAAGUAACAGUAUCCAUUGCAGUGUUUUUUGGCUUAAAUGUUUUAAUUAAUUAAGCUAUUCAUGACAAUCAUAGGUCAGACUCUCCUGGUCAUUGUGCCAAGUAUGGGACCUACACCGUGAUUGAGGACCGCAUCAACAGGGUUUUGGAUCUUCAACUUGUCCAAGUAAAUUACCAUUAGUGGACACACAAAUCAGUUGUUCUCUUUUUGAUGUGGCACACUUUCUUAUAUGACUGAUUAAUGUUUUUUACAGAGCUCAGAGGUACCAAGCAGCAACUGGUGUGAGCUGGAGGGUUUGAAGCGAACCAUAGCAUUUCUCAAGGAGCAACACUUGCAAGUUUCAGCCCUUAUUACCGACAGAAAUCGCCAGGUAAAGACAAACAAGAAAGACAUAUGUAUCAGUGUAUUCAUUAUAUGUUCCCCUACAUUAAUUUUACAGUGGGCUGUUGAUUUUGACACGCUGUAAGG
rnacentral:lncRNA from 1 species